AUAUAUGUGCAUAUAAAUAUAUAAUAUGUACUUUAUAAAUAUUAUAUGUAUGAAAACUAAAUCAGAAUCUCUCAAUCCCGGGUUUACUCUUUAUUGAGCUGUUUUGGGAGAAUCUGCAAGGCCUAGUGCACAGGGACGGGGUUGCUGCUUCAUACAGAAAACAGAAGAGACUUUGCAGAGGGGAAAACAAUCAAAUAAACAAAAACCAAACUAAAAAAUAACUAAGCCAACAGGGGAAAAAAAAAAAAAAAAAAGAAUGUUCCUUCCCUUGGCGGUUGGAAUGUCGCGGAGGGUAAUCCGAGCAGCAGCUCAGUCUCCGGGAGCCAGCAGUGCGGACUCCCAGACUGCUGCCCGCCUGUCCUAAUCUGGUAUUUGGAGGAGUGUGUUUUUGUUGGUUUUUUUUAUUUUCUUUCUUUGAUUUACUGAUAUCUCCUCAGUAUUUUGGGUUUAGGUAAUGAACUCUUUCUGUUACUGAUUUAACGGUCAGGAAGGGCAAUGUGCGGGCCCGAUGCCACAGCCCCGCCCGGGUCCGUGUUGGUGCCGCGGGCUCCUCGCCCCCGGUGGUGGGCUCUGUGUCCCUGCGAGCCCGGCUGACUUGUAAGGGUGCUCUUCUAUCGCCCCGCCUCGCAGCGAAUAUCUGGUAAAUUUGUCCUCAGCUGAAGGAGAAGCCCAUCGGCUCCUGCCCGCAUGGAAGGGGUGCCGAGAGGACGAGCCGCAAUCCAGUGCCAGCUGAAACCCCCGUUCCCAUCCCCACGACGGGACCAUCUCGCACCUGACACCCCGCGGGGGCGGACCUGCAGCCGAGACCCCCCCACCGCGGCCCGACCGCCGGACCGCCCCCCGUGAAAACGCGGCUCCUGCCAAAAAUCACGUCUCCUGGGAGGGGUCGGAAGAUAUAUUUGCUGGAAGAUACUAGGAAUGAAGGAAAAACAGCUGGUAAAGACGAGCUGAAAAGCUCUGUGUAUUUGUCUCCGAUCAGCAUGAACACCUCGCCCCACCCCCCUUUUAAUUUUAGAGAUUAAAACCAGAGUAUAUUUCCUCAGCAGGUACCUAAAGGAAGAACCUUGAUGUUUGCUCUACCGGUUUGUUCUGUCGGUCCCUUUGCAUUUUGUGUGUUUGUUGCUCACAAAUAGCUAUUAUCGCUGUUAAUGAUUGUAGAAAUGUAAAAAAAGAUUUUUAAAAAUGUGAAUUCGUAGCCUGCUAGCAGAGAGCGCUCCUCACUCUCCUGGCAAUUAAAUUAAGGGUGUCGAUUUGGGUUAGGGAUCAUCCUUCAAUUUUAAGAGAAAAGUGCUUCAAGUCAAGAAUGCCUUUUCUGUUUUGUUGUCUAUUUGUUUGUUUUCUCUUUUUUUCGAAGGCUUUUCCUUUUUAGUAUUUAAGUUAUGCUGGAAGAACACAUUUCUCCUCCGUGCUCUUUUAGGCUAUCCCUCCCUUGGAAACUCCAGAUGGGAGGGAAACAGGCACACAUAAUUUGGGAGGUUUUGUUAUUUUUAAAAAAAACGUUUGUCAUGCUGCAACCAUUAUUCCGAGGAUUCUGCGAGGUUUUCAUUUACCGGCUUUCAGGGCUCCUUUCUUCAUAUUGCAGCCGGCCCAAUGUGAGACUCCAGAGAAAAAUAAUUUAAAAAAAGACCAAAAACAAGUGAAAACAAAAAGAAUAAAAAUAUAAAGCAACCUUCCUCUCUUCCUCCCCCUCACCCCAAAGCUAAGCUGCGCCCCAAUCCAGGCUUCGCUUGGGGAGUCAAAUUACCCCUCUUCCCAUUGGGACGCAUUCAUUUUUCGCAGUCAUUUUAUCUGCCGGAACUUUAGGACAAAGCUAUUUUCCAGAGGAAAUUUCCACUCCUGCUGCCGCCUCACAGCAGAGGGCGCCAGGAGCCUUCCCAGGCUUUGCUGCCUCAAGAGCUGCUGGAAAUUAACUCUUUGGACACUCUCCUUGAAUGUUUUUCUAACCUUUCCCUUUUAAAAUAUACAACUGGAUUCUGACUUUUUUUUUCCCCCUAUAAAACGCAUGUUGGUUUGUUUUGGUUUGGGUUUGUAAGAUUUUUUUUCCCUGUCCUUGUAGUACCUUUUCCCAGCUCUUCUAGGCCUUCACCCUCCUGCAGCAUUCCCCCAGGACUCUCAGGUGUACAGCUUCACUCUCUCUCUGCUAACUUGAUUUUAAUUAAGUCACUGGAUCACGUUUGCGUGACAUUACCGUGUUGUCCCUUAUAAACUUCUGGGAUGAAACUCGUCUUGGCUGUGUUUAAACUUAAAGAGUCACUUAGGGAACUUCAAGCAGAACACCAAAGCAUGGCACCAAAGGUGAAACAGGUUGGUGAGGCCCUGGCACAGGUUGCCCAAAGAAGCUGUGACUGCCUAAUCCCUGGAAGUGUUCACAGCCAGGAUUUGGAGCAACCUGGACUAGUAAAGAGUGUCCCAGCCCAAAUAUGCACAGUAUAAAGUCUCCAACAGAGCUUAUCGUUCCAAAUAAAUGACUAAAAUGGAAGAUAAACAGUAAGAAAGAGAAGAAAGAAUAAACUAAAUAUUAGUAUAUGUAAUUUCCAUGUUUCCUGUAAACUUUUGUCAAGAAGCUAGAUAUGAUUUUGCUAUUCACAUCUGAGGAUCAACAGAAAUGCAAAAUGCAUGAUCCAAAUAAUUAUUAAAAAAAAUCUGAGCAUAAAGCAUAAAAACCAACAAAGAAAAACAUUUUGAUUCUGGAGGCUGGUGGGAAAACUCAGUUGAAGAUAAAUGUUUGUCCUUGUGCUAUUUAAAUUAAAAUAUGGAUUUAAAAGAUUUAUGAGCUGGUUUGUUCAUUUAUGGAAUUCAAUUUAGCAUCUAUCAAUCAUAAAAAAAGAAAAUUAAUCAAA